CAUUUAUAGGUUUCUGGGGUGCAUAUUUGUUGCUUGUACACGUACUUAGAUUGGCUACCAAAUGAAAUCAAUAUGCAUUGCAUAGUGAACCUUUCCUUAGUGCCAUUGUCCCUCCCCCCCGAAAUUGGCCCAUCUGUACUGUUUUCACUGGCUUCCCAAUGGAAUUACUAUGAAGCCUCAUUAAUGCGUUUUCUACCUCCAUACGUACAUGCAUACAGUCAAGAUAAUCUCUCUUUACCAUAAGUGUCACCUGUGCAGGUUCAAUAUAAUAGUAUAUAUAAUUUAUGCCUCUUUACCAUUCGCAUACAUCACAGUAGCCUCGAUUCAAGGCCUUGAAUCGAGGCUAACAUCACAGGUUCUGGACAGCAAUUCAUUUGAGGAGCUUGCCUCGUACCCCGGCCUCCAUGCCAACGUCUGAGCAUGCCGUUUCAGAAGGAGAACUUUGUGAUGAUCCAGUCCAAUCGUGUGAGGAAGCCACAAAGCUCUGCCUUCCUCUCGGGUCGUCUAGAUCUCUCCCUGUCCACCUUCACCCAUCCCUCUAUUUUCUAUACUCUAUGAUCUAUGGUUGCAGUGAGCAACAAUUAAGAUUCACUGUUACAGUAUAGAUUGAUGAGGAGGAACGUGGUUGGAGUGCAGAGAAUGGCCCCCCACCCCACUCUGGCUUAUUAUCUGAUUAGCUGUAUAUAUGGAUGGCUCCGUGGUGAUGUGGGUGUUUGGUAACUCUCGGCCAGUCUCCACCCAGAUUCCCCCGGGCUCUGGGCCCAGCGUCCGAUUCACUUCAGAGGGAAACAUAGUGUUUCGCUUAUUAAACCUUUAUUGGAUUGAUCCAUUUUUGUGCUACUGAUAUAGGUUAAUUUUUAACAGUUAAUUUGUUUCACUGUACCCAAAAAUGUACGAUUAUAAUAAUAAUAAAUGGCGUUUGAGUUCCUAUACCAGCUAAUGGUUCAUACUCCUCACCCCAACAGUAUAUGGAGUAACAUGUGACCAUUAUUGUCGUUGCUAAAUAUAAUUAUAGCUAACAGCUUUCAUUAAUUGUAGUGAGUGAUAAGAUUGUUACACUAGUUACAACCAUGUGCUUCCAGUGUUGUUGAUAUGAGUUUCCCUUGCAGUUAAUGGGUGUGGCCCAUGUAAGGGUGCACAGUAGCCCCAUAUAGGUGAGCCUGUUGCAUGGAGGAGGAACGUGGUUGGAGUGCGGAGAAUGGCCCCCCUCACCCCACGCUGGCUUAUUAUCUGACUGGCUGUAUGAUUGGCUCCGUGGUGAUGUGGGAAUUUGGUAACCCUCGGCCAGUCUCCACCCAGAUUCCCCCGGGCUCUGGGGCCAGCGUCACCAUGAUACGAUUCACUCCAGAGGGAAACAAAUAUGGAGUGACUGACAACAGUGGCAAGCUGUCGCUAUGGCAAGGGAUACACACAGCUGCCCGCAAGCCCUACCACUCUCUCUACUCUGGUAUGAAGCACCUCAGUGACUUUCUGUUCCUCGGCUCCUCCAGUUUCAUAGCAACCUGUGGGGACGGCAGCGACAACAGCUUGAAUCCACGUGGAAGUCGGUAAGGAUCAUGAGUCCCAAAAGUAAACCAUUGUGCCGGUCCAUGACGUAUGGAUACAUACAAACAAAAUUGCAACGGUGGAAGUCGGCAAGGAUCAUGAGUCCCAAAAGCAAAUCAUUGUGCCGGUCCAUGACGUAUGGAUACAUACAUACAUACAGACAAAAUUGCAACAUUGAAGACUAGGUAAACUAAAGAGGGGUCUCAACAAGCUUAGAUAGCUAGCUGCUCAGACGAGGAGGCGAAAGAUCAGUUCUCUGGGUGACCAUACUAUACAAGAGAUUGCAUGGCGGAACAUAACUAUGUGCAGUUUGAAUAAGAUUUGCCAUGGCGACCAGUACCUUCCACACUCGCUAGUGACUACUUAGACUAUAACAUUAAAUAUUGUGUACAUGCAUGAUGUUGACUUUUACUACAUGUGCUUAUGCUUAUGUAUACAU